UAGGUACUCCCUCCGUCCCAAAAUUCUUGUCUUAGAUUUGUAUUGAUAUGAAUGUAUCUAGUCAUGUUUUAGUAUUUAGAAACAUCCAUUUCUAGAUAAACAUAAGACAAGAAUUUUGGGAGAGAGGGAGUACUAA
rnacentral:pre_miRNA from 1 species